rnacentral:rRNA from 1 species
UACAGAGGGGGCAAGCGUUGUUCGGAAUUACUGGGCGUAAAGGGCGCGUAGGCGGCCUGCUAAGUCGAACGUGAAAUCCCCGGGCUCAACCCGGGAACUGCGUCCGAUACUGGCAGGCUUGAAUCCGGGAGAGGGAUGUGGAAUUCCAGGUGUAGCGGUGAAAUGCGUAGAUAUCUGGAGGAACACCGGUGGCGAAGGCGGCAUCCUGGACCGGUAUUGACGCUGAUGGCGCGAAAAGCUAGGGGAGCAAACGGGG